CCGGCGCACGGGUGAGUAACGCGUAUGCGACCUGCCCGUUGCAGGGGGGAUAAUCGGGAGAAAUCCCGUCUAAUACCGCGUAACGCCGCGGGGCUGCAUGGCCCUGCGGCCAAAGGGAGCGAUUCCGGCAACGGAUGGGCAUGCGUGACAUUAGCUAGUUGGCGGGGCAACGGCCCACCAAGGCGACGAUGUCUAGGGGUUCUGAGAGGAAGGUCCCCCACACUGGUACUGAGACACGGACCAGACUCCUACGGGAGGCAGCAG
rnacentral:rRNA from 1 species